AUCUCACUGCAGUGCAUGACAUUUUGCUAAAAACAGGAUAUGAAGAUGAAGUGGGGGCUAAAAAUGAGGGGACUAUCAAAGAUGGGGAUAUAGCUGCAAUCAAGUAAACUGUUAUGGCCUCUAUUAGAGGAAAGAUAGGACUUCAAUGAUGAACUUAAGGUGGUACAACAAUAUAUUUGUUAGGAAUGAGUCCAUUCAUUGCUGGUCAAUUAGAUACAGGGAAUACUCCGGUUAAUGUGAAGAAGCUUGCUCUUGGGUGGAUGAUCGCUUAUCUCUUUGUUGUCAACUUUGUUGGUCUUUUCUCCAUUGUGCCACUAC